rnacentral:tRNA from 1 species
GGGGCUAUAGCUCAGCUGGGAGAGCGCCUGCCUUGCACGCAGGAGGUCAGCGGUUCGAUCCCGCUUACGUGAUUCA